rnacentral:rRNA from 1 species
UACGUAGGGGGCGAGCGUUGUCCGGAGUUACUGGGCGUAAAGGGCGUGCAGGCGGUCUGUUAAGUUCAGGGUGAAAGCUCCCGGCUCAACUGGGAGAGGUCCUUGGAUACUGGCAGACUUGAGGGAGGUAGAGGAGAGUGGAAUUCCCGGUGUAGUGGUGAUAUGCGUAGAUAUCGGGAGGAACACCAGUGGCGAAGGCGACUUCCUGGCCUGUUCUUGACGCUGAGGCGCGAAAGCUAGGGGAGCAAACGGG